GACGAACGCUGGCGGCGUGCUUAACACAUGCAAGUCGAACGGGAAGGCCCUUCGGGGUACACGAGUGGCGAACGGGGGUGUGAAAUGUGGGUGAUCUGCGCUGCACUUCGGGAUAAGCCUGGGAAACUGGGCCGCAUAUCGGAUAGAACACCGGACUGCAUGGUCGUGGGUGGAAAGCUUUGGCGGUGUGGGAUGGGCCCGCGGCUGAUUAGCUUGUUGGUGGGGUGAUGGCCUACCAAGGCGGCGAAGGGUAGCCGGCCUGAGAGGGUGAUCGGCCACACUGGGAGUGAGCGACGGCCCAAACACCUACGGGAGGCAGCAGUGGGGAAGAUUGCACAAUGGGCGGAAGCAUGAUGCAGGGACGCCGCGUGAGGGAUGACGGCCUUCGGGUUGUGAACCACUUUCAGCACCGGCGAAGCGCAAGUGACGGUAGGUGCAGAAGAAGGACCGGCCAACUACGUGCCAGCCGCCGCCGUAA
rnacentral:rRNA from 1 species